rfam:TPA: Bos taurus chromosome 22, whole genome shotgun sequence.
UCCCAAGUGGCUCAGUGGUAAAGAAUCUGCCUGUCAAGCAGGAGAUGUGGGUUCAAUCCCUGUGUCAGGAA